rnacentral:tRNA from 1 species
GAAAUAUAAAAUAUUAAAUUAAGCUUCUAACUUAAAUUUAUAGCAGUGUGAUUCUGUUAAUAUUUCU